rnacentral:rRNA from 1 species
AUUGAACGCUGGCGGCAUGCCUAACACAUGCAAGUCGAACGGCAGCACAGCAGUAGCAAUACUGUGGGUGGCGAGUGGCGGACGGGUGAGGAAUACGUCGGAAUCUGCCCAGUCGUGGGGGAUAACUAGCCGAAAGGUUAGCUAAUACCGCAUACGACCGAGAGGUGAAAGCGGGGGACCGCAAGGCCUCGCGCGAUUGGAUGAGCCGACGUCGGAUUAGCUAGUUGGCGGGGUAAAGGCCACCAAGGCGACGAUCCGUAGCUGGUCUGAGAGGAUGAUCAGCCACACUGGAACUGAGACACGGUCCAGACUCCUACGGGAGGCAGCAGUGGGGAAUAUUGGACAAUGGGCGCAAGCCUGAUCCAGCAAUGCCGCGUGUGUGAAGAAGG